CAGUAGCCACGGUAAUACGAAGGGUGCAAGCGUUAAUCGGAAUUACUGGGCGUAAAGCGUGCGUAGGCGGUUUCUUAAGUCUGCUGUGAAAUCCCCGGGCUCAACCUGGGAAUGGCAGUGGAUACUGGGAAGCUAGAGUGUGUCAGAGGAUGGUGGAAUUCCCGGUGUAGCGGUGAAAUGCGUAGAGAUCGGGAGGAACAUCAGUGGCGAAGGCGGCCAUCUGGGACAACACUGACGCUGAGGCACGAAAGCGUGGGGAGCAAACAGGAUUAGAUACCCCUGUAGUCCCUGUAUCUUAUAC
rnacentral:rRNA from 1 species